rnacentral:rRNA from 1 species
GACGAACGCUGGCGGCGUGCUUAACACAUGCAAGUCGAACGGUAAGGCCCUUCGGGGUACGCGAGUGGCGAACGGGUGAGUAACACGUGGGUGAUCUGCCCUGCACUUCGGGAUAAGCCUGGGAAACUGGGUCUAAUACCGGAUAGGACCACUGCCUGCAUGGGUGGUGGUGGAAAGCUUUUGCGGUGUGGGAUGGGCCCGCGGCCUAUCAGCUUGUUGGUGGGGUGAUGGCCUACCAAGGCGACGACGGGUAGCCGGCCUGAGAGGGUGACCGGCCACACUGGGACUGAGAUACGGCCCAGACUCCUACGGGAGGCAGCAGUGGGGAAUAUUGCACAAUGGGCGCAAGCCUGAUGCAGCGACGCCGCGUGAGGGAUGACGGCCUUCGGGUUGUAAACCUCUUUCGGCACCGACGAAGCGCAAGUGACGGUAGGUGCAGAAGAAGGACCGGCCAACUACGUGCCAGCCGCCGCGGUAA